rnacentral:rRNA from 1 species
UCAGGCCUAACACACGCAAGUCGAGGGGUAGAAGGAGCUUGCUCCUUUGAGACAGGCGCACGGGUGCGUAACGCGUAUGCAAUCUACCUUUUACAGAGGGAUAGCCCAGAGAAAUUUGGAUUAAUACCUCAUAGUAUAUAUCAUUCGCAUGUUUGGUAUAUUAAAGUUCCAACGGUAAAAGAUGAGCAUGCGUCCCAUUAGUUAGUUGGUAAGGUAACGGCUUACCAAGACGAUGAUGGGUAGGGGUCCUGAGAG